rnacentral:tRNA from 1 species
ACCUGGGUGGCUCAGUCGGUUAAGUACCUGACUUUGGCUCAGGUUCAUGGGUUUGAACCCCAUAUCAGGCU